rnacentral:rRNA from 1 species
CCUGCCUCAAAGAGGGGGACAACAGUUGGAAACGACUGCUAAUACCGCAUAAGCCCACAGGUCGGCAUCGACCAGAGGGAAAAGGAGCAAUCCGCUUUGAGAUGGCCUCGCGUCCGAUUAGCUAGUUGGUGAGGUAAUGGCCCACCAAGGCAACGAUCGGUAGCCGGACUGAGAGGUUGAACGGCCACAUUGGGACUGAGACACGGCCCAGACUCCUACGGGAGGCAGCAGUGGGGAAUAUUGCACAAUGGGGGAAACCUUGAUGCAGCGACGCCGCGUGGAGGAAGAAGGUCUUCGGAUUGUAAACUCCUGUUGUUGAGGAAGAUAAUGACGGUACUCAACAAGGAAGUGACGGCUAACUACGUGCCAGCAGCCGCGGUAAAACGUAGGUCACAAGCGUUGUCCGGAAUUACUGGGUGUAAAGGGAGCGCAGGCGGGAAGACAAGUUGGAAGUGAAAUCUAUGGGCUCAACCCAUAAACUGCUUUCAAAACUGUUUUUCUUGAGUAGUGCAGAGGUAGGCGGAAUUCCCGGUGUAGCGGUGGAAUGCGUAGAUAUCGGGAGGAACACCAGUGGCGAAGGCGGCCUACUGGGCACCAACUGACGCUGAGGCUCGAAAGUGUGGGUAGCAAACAGGAUUAGAUACCCUGGUAGUCCACACCGUAAACGAUGAUUACUAGGUGUUGGAGGAUUGACCCCUUCAGUGCCGCAGUUCACACCAUAAGUAAUCCACCUGGGGAGUA